AAUCAACGCUGGCGGCGUGCCUAACACAUGCAAGUCGAACGCGAAAGUGGAGCAAUCCAUGAGUAGAGUGGCAAACGGGUGAGUAACGCGUGGGCGACCUACCUUCGAGUGGGGGAUAACCUUCCGAAAGGAGGGCUAAUACCGCAUGACAUCCCGUGUUUGGAUACACGGAGAUCAAAGCCGGGGAUCGUGAGACCUGGCGCUUGAAGAGGGGCCUGCGUCCGAUUAGCUAGUUGGUGAGGUCACGGCUCACCAAGGCUCCGAUCGGUAUCCGGCCUGAGAGGGCGGACGGACACACUGGAACUGAGACACGGUCCAGACUCCUACGGGAGGCAGCAGUGGGGAAUUGUUCGCAAUGGGCGAAAGCCUGACGACGCAACGCCGCGUGGAGGAUGAAGACCUGGUCGUAAC
rnacentral:rRNA from 1 species